rnacentral:rRNA from 1 species
GAUGAACGCUGACAGAAUGCUUAACACAUGCAAGUCAACUUGAACUUCGGUUUGGGUGGCGGACGGGUGAGUAACGCGUAAAGAACUUGCCUCACAGAUAGGGACAACAUUUGGAAACGAAUGCUAAUACCUGAUAUUAUGAUUUUAGGGCAUCCUAGAAUUAUGAAAGCUAUAUGCGCUGUGAGAGAGCUUUGCGUCCCAUUAGCUAGUUGGAGAGGUAACGGCUCACCAAGGCGAUGAUGGGUAGCCGGCCUGAGAGGGUGAUCGGCCACAAGGGGACUGAGACACGGCCCUUACUCCUACGGGAGGCAGCAGUGGGGAAUAUUGGACAAUGGACCAAGAGUCUGAUCCAGCAAUUCUGUGUGCACGGCGAAGUUUUUCGGAAUGUAAAGUGCUUUCAGUUGGGAAGAAAAAAAUGACGGUACCAAUAGAAGAAGUGACGGCUAAAUACGUGCCAGCAGCCGCGGUAAUACGUAUGUCACAAGCGUUAUCCGGAUUUAUUGGGCGUAAAGCGCGUCUAGGUGGUUAUGUAAGUCUGAUGUGAAAAUGCAGGGCUCAACUCUGUAUUGCGUUGGAAACUGUGUAACUAGAGUACUGGAGAGGUAAGCGGAACUACAAGUGUAGAGGUGAAAUUCGUAGAUAUUUGUAGGAAUGCCGAUGGGGAAGCCAGCUUACUGGACAGAUACUGACGCUGAAGCGCGAAAGCGUGGGUAGCAAACAGG